rnacentral:rRNA from 1 species
UACGGAGGGUGCGAGCGUUGUCCGGAAUCACUGGGCGUAAAGGGCGCGUAGGUGGCGCGACAAGUCAACGGUGAAAGCUCGGCGCUCAACGCCGAGUCGGCCGUCGAUACUGUUGGGCUUGAGCACUGUAGAGGCUAAUGGAAUUCCGGGUGUAGCGGUGGAAUGCGUAGAGAUCCGGAAGAACACCGGUGGCGAAGGCGGUCUGCUGGGCAGUAGCUGACACUGAGGCGCGACAGCGUGGGGAGCAAACAGG